GCCGGGAUGAUGGAAUUGGUAGACAUACUGGUCUUAGAAGCCAGCGCUUCAUCGCGUGAGAGUUCGAGUCUCUCUUCCGGCACCA
rnacentral:tRNA from 1 species